AUUGAACGCUGGCGGCAGGCUUAACACAUGCAAGUCGAGCGGAGACUUCGGUCUUAGCGGCGAACGGGUGAGUAAUACCUAGGAAUCUGCCUAUUAGUGGGGGAUAACGAAUCGAAAGGUUCGCUAAUACCGCAUACGUCCUACGGGAGAAAGGGGGGGAGUCUUCGGACCUCUCGCUAAUAGAUGAGCCUAGGCCGGAUUAGCUAGUUGGUAGGGUAAAGGCCUACCAAGGCGACGAUCUGUAGCUGGUCUGAGAGGAUGGCCAGCCACACUGGAACUGAGACACGGUCCAGACUCCUACGGGAGGCAGCAGUGGGGAAUAUUGGACAAUGGGGGCAACCCUGAUCCAGCCAUGCCGCGUGUGU
rnacentral:rRNA from 1 species